CUCUAGUUAAUAUUUAAUCAUAGACUAGUGUUUAGCCUUUCUCUUAUAGCUAAUUUUACAGAAUUAACUAGCUUUUGAAAGGUUCACCUCCCCCCCCCCCCCCCCUGUACGAAACAGACAAGAAGGAAAAUAAGAAUAUAGCAACCGUGUCAAACACUCAAAAGUUUCAAUCUUUCUCACUUUUUUAGGUUCCAACACUAACCCACUUCACAAAACUCUCUCAAAAACUCUUGUUUUACUUCACAACAAUACCAAGUCACCAGACUCUCUGAAAUUUCACAGAAUACUCUGUCUUUGUGACUCUAAAGCCUCAAAAUUUCUCACUUUUUUAAAGUUUUGGCACAACACCCAAUUCAGAAAACUCUCUUAAAAACUCAAAUUUUUCAUCAAAUUCACCACAAGACUCUGUUACUGUUACUGUUUCUGUUCCUGUUUCUAUCCUAGAGAAAACAGAGCAAUGGAGGGAGUGAUAGUUAAGGAAGAAGAAACGGUGACGUACGGUGUGGGAUCAUCGUCCUCUUCAUCUUCGAGCAUUUCACCGCAACCAAUGGAGGGGUUACACGAGGUGGGCCCGCCUCCAUUCCUGACCAAGACCUUUGAAAUGGUGGAAGACCCAGCAACUGACUCGAUCGUGUCGUGGAGCAGAGCUCGCAAUAGCUUCAUUGUUUGGGACUCUCACAAAUUCUCCACCACCCUUCUUCCUUGCCACUUCAAGCACAGUAAUUUCUCAAGCUUCGUUCACCAGCUCAAUACAUAUGGUUUCAGAAAGGUUGAUCCUGAUCGAUGGGAAUUCGCAAACGAAGGGUUUCUGGCAGGGCAAAAGCAUCUAUUAAAGACCAUCAAAAGAAGAAGACAUGUCACACAGGGUACGCAACAACAAGGAGGAGGAGCUUGUGUUGAAUUGGGACAAUGUGGGUUAGAAGGUGAGCUUGAGAUAUUAAAGAGAGAUCGAGGCUUGCUAAUGGCGGAAAUUGUGAGGUUGAGGCAGCAACAACAGAAUUCAAGGGAACAAAUGAUUUCAAUGGAGGAUAGGUUACAGACCACAGAGAGGAAACAGCAACAGUUAAUGAAUUUUCUUGCUAAAGCACUCAAUAAUCCAUCCUUUAUCCAGCAAUUUAGUCAGAUGAGUGCUCAAAGAAGAGGACUACCAGGGUGUUGAAAUUGGACGAAAGCGUAGACUUACUGCAAGCCCAAGUGUGGAGAAUUUGCAAGAAGAAGACGUGUCUGUGUUGGCAGGCAGUAACCAAGUUGUGGACUUUACAAGCCAAGAUCAAGAAGAAACGGCAACUAUGGAAACAUUUUUCUCAGCUGCCUUGGACAAUGAAUCAAGCAGUGAUAUCAAUGACCCCAUUGCAAGUUCAGUACCCACAAGAAGUGGUGCCAAUUUGGAUUCUGUCAAUGAGACCAUAUGGGAAGAACUUUUGAAUGAAGAUCUAAUCACUGAAAAUCCGGAAGAAGAAGCUGUGGUUGGUGAUAAGUUGGAAAUUGAUGUGGAAGUGGAGGAUUUGGUCGCAGAACCUGACGACUGGGGUGAUGAUUUCCAAGACCUCGUCGAUCAAAUGGUUAUCUCAGAGUUGCAAUGUGUUUCAGCUCAUUGCUUGGUGCAUAAUGGCUAUAAGGUCUGUGCGUAUUUGGCCAAGCUGCAAUUAAGGAUUUAUAUUCUUCUUGGUAAGUUUAGACUCAUAACUCAUUAGAAUAAGCACUACAAAUACAUUUUUAUUUUUGGGUUGACUGUGGCCCGGAUACCCUGUGAACUAAGAGGUAUCUGUAUGCAAGCUGGUUUACCUUUCUGCAACUAAUGGACAGGAUAGUUUGGUCUUGUUUCUGUCUCUGCAAUAAUUAUUUAUUGGCUUAGAUAUAUGCAUUUUCCCUAGUGUGUUACAGAUUGUAAGAGGCUGUGGGAUCCAUACACUAUAAAAAGGAAAAAAAAAAAAA